GUGGGGAAUAUUGGACAAUGGGCGAAAGCCUGAUCCAGCCAUGCCGCGUGUGUGAAGAAGGUCUUCGGAUUGUAAAGCACUUUAAGUUGGGAGGAAGGGUUGUAGAUUAAUACUCUGCAAUUUUGACGUUACCGACAGAAUAAGCACCGGCUAACUCUGUGCCAGCAGCCGCGGUAAUACAGAGGGUGCAAGCGUUAAUCGGAAUUACUGGGCGUAAAGCGCGCGUAGGUGGUUUGUUAAGUUGGAUGUGAAAGCCCCGGGCUCAACCUGGGAACUGCAUCCAAAACUGGCAAGCUAGAGUACGGUAGAGGGUGGUGGAAUUUCCUGUGUAGCGGUGAAAUGCGUAGAUAUAGGAAGGAACACCAGUGGCGAAGGCGACCACCUGGACUGAUACUGACACUGAGGUGCGAAAGCGUGGGGAGCAAACAGGAUUAGAUACCCCUGUAGUCC
rnacentral:rRNA from 1 species